CCUUGGGGUAUAGUCCUUGUUCCCAUUUAAUAUAAGAGGAUACUGACAGAUCCCAGGAGAUUUACCCAAGGUCACCCAGCUGGUAGAUGGAGAAGUAGAGGCAGGAACUCAGAUUAUCUGAAUUAUGGUUUGUCUUAAGCACUCAUUCUGUGCCAGGCACAGCGAAACUACUAGAUGCGGAGUUUGUAACCUGGGCAAAAGGGGGUCUUAGAACCCCAGAACCUCACGAAACUCAGGCCACGCCUCCUCUGAGCAUCGGCUCCACCCACAGGGCGCCAGAGGCCCCUACCACCAGGCUUCACCCCCAGCGCCAUUGACUGAACUGUGCAAAAGGGGAGGGGUCUUCCAAGCCGAGAUGAGCCAAUCAGAACCUCUCUUCAAUGACCUGGAAAUCAGUGUCUGGGCCAGACAGAUGGUAGUGGGCAGGGGACAGAAAGGUGUUGAGGGAGAAGCACCCUUGCCUGAUGGUUGCCCAAAGCCAGGGGCAGGUGGAAGUGAGAGAAGGACAAGCCCUGCAAACGUUGCAGAAGCCCUCUGUCCAUGGAGAAGGCAUGGGACUUUCACGCCGGGGCAGCUUACUCCUGCUGAGAACUUUGGGGAGACAGAGUGGAGCAGCCAUCUCAGACCUGAGCGGCUAAGGAGCUGGAUCCUUCUCUGGCGCACUGUGCAGAGCUGCUGGACUUUGCAGUAAGCAGCCUUCAGGUCUAAGGGCUCCACAUUGUAAGGAAGGCCAGUCGCAUAGACAGACCACAUGGUGAGUUCCAGCUGGCUGCCCCAGCCAAGGCUUCAGCCAACAACCAAGAUUAACCACAGCCAUGGGUAUCAAUAAGCCUUCAAAUGAGUCCAGCACCCAGCAGAAUAAUGCCCCCUCCCAUCUCACAAAGAUCUCCACACCCUAUUUCCUGGAACCUGGGAAUCUGCUAUACUACACGGCAAGCAGAACUGGCAGACGGAAUUUAGGGUAUGGGCCUUGAUAUGGGGAGGGCAGCCUGGAUUACACAGGUGGACCCGAUCUACGCACAUGAGCUUUUAUAAAGGCAAAAAAACUUUCCCCAGCUUCCAGAUAGCUGGCAAACAGAAUUGGAGUGGCAGAGAGAUUUAAUCAAGAAGGGCAGAAGAGACUUAAAAGCAAGAGAGGCUCAGCCUGCCAUGGCUAGCUUUGAAAAUGGAGGAAUGGGGCUCCAAGCCAAGGGAUGCAGGCUGCCUCUUCAUUGGAGUACUGCCAGCAAGAAAACAGCCCAGCAAUUGCAAGGAAAUUAAUUUUCCCAACAGCCUGAAUGAGCCAGAAAAUGGACUCUCCCCUGCUAUGCCCUGAGUUCAGCCUUGCGAGACUCUAAGCAGAGACCAACUUGAGCCUGCAGGACAUCCCACCCAUAAGAAUUGUAGGAUAAUGAACUGGGGUGGUUUUA